rnacentral:rRNA from 1 species
GAGUUUGAUCUUGGCUCAGAACGAACGCUGGCGGCAGGCUUAACACAUGCAAGUCGAACGAUGUCUUCGGACAUAGUGGCAGACGGGUGAGUAACGCGUGGGAAUCUACCCAGUCCUUCGGGAUAACAGUUGGAAACGACUGCUAAUACCGGAUACGCCCUUUUGGGGAAAGAUUUAUCGGGAUUGGAUGAGCCCGCGUAAGAUUAGCUAGAUGGUGGGGUAACGGCCUACCAUGGCGACGAUCUUUAGCUGGUCUGAGAGGAUGAUCAGCCACACUGGGACUGAGAUACGGCCCCGACUCCUACGGGAGGCAGCAGCUAAGAAUCUUGCGCAAUGGGCGAAAGCCUGACGCAGCAAUUCCGCGUGGGGGACGAAGGCCCUCGGGUCGUAAACCCCUUUUACGAGGGAAGAAGUUCUGACGGUACCUCGUGAAUAAGACACGGCUAACUACGUGCCAGCCGCC